rnacentral:rRNA from 1 species
ACGGAGGGUGCAAGCGUUAUCCGGAUUCACUGGGUUUAAAGGGUGCGUAGGUGGGCAGGUAAGUCAGUGGUGAAAUCUCCGGGCUUAACUCGGAAACUGCCAUUGAUACUAUCUUUCUUGAAUACCGUGGAGGUCAGCGGAAUAUGUCAUGUAGCGGUGAAAUGCUUAGAUAUGACAUAGAACACCAAUUGCGAAGGCAGCUGGCUACACGAAUAUUGACACUGAUGUACGAAAGCGUGGGGAUCAAACAGGA